CUACAAUCAACAGUCCAUCAUGCUUCCCUCCCCCGUGGAGCCUGUGCAAUGGCUGCUAAUAAGAGCCUCCUGGGAAGUGUCUGUAGCCUUCAGCUUGUACAGGUUUCUCUAAGAGGCAGCCUUUUCCACUGAU
ensembl:snoRNA SNORA70 Small nucleolar RNA SNORA70